AUGAACUGGAGCUGGAGAAUCCUCUUCACUGUGGUAUUGGCUACAGUGCAGCUGGUGCAGUCAGAGGCUGAGGUGAGGAAGCUGGGGGAAUCUGUCAAGGUCUCCUGCGAGGCAUCUGGGUACACCUUCACCAGCUACACAAUGAACUGGGUGCAACGGAUACCAGGAAAGAGCCUGCAGAACAUGGGAUUGAUCAACAUGAAAACUGGGAAUCCAACGUAUGCGCAAGGCUUCUCCAGUCGAUUUGUUUUCUCCAUGGACACCUCUGUCAGCACGGUUUAUCUACAGAUCAGCAGCCUGAACUCCGAGGACACGGCCGUGUAUUACUGUGCAAGAGACGCGAU